UUUUGGAAUAUUUAAAAAUUAACUUUUAGGUGAAGAGGCCUAAAUUUGUUUAAGGGACAAGAAGACCCUGUUGAGCUUUAGUAAAAUUAUAAGUGAAUGGAACUUGUGUGGCUCGCUGCACUAGUUAUUAUGUAGUUGCUAUAAUAAUAGGCUUGUAAUUAAUCUUUAGUUGGGGCGACUGAGGAACAUGUAAAGCUUCCUUAUUUUAUGUACAUUAAUGUCAUGUUGUAAGUUUUUAAAUGUUUUUGUAUUAUUUUGAUCCAAUUUGUUUUGAUUAAAAGAAAAAGUUACCACAGGGAUAACAGCGUAAUCUUUCUGGAGAGAUCUAAUCGAAAGAAGGGUUUGCGACCUCGAUGUUGGACUAAGAUAUCCUAAGGGUGCAGAAGCUCUUAAAGGUUGGUCUGUUCGACCAUUAAAAUCUU
rnacentral:rRNA from 1 species